rnacentral:rRNA from 1 species
AUACGGAGGAUGCGAGCGUUAUCCGGAUUUAUUAGGUUUAAAGGGUGUGUAGGCGGUAUUUUAAGUCAGUGGUGAAAUCUUUCAGCUUAACUGAGAAACUGCCAUUGAUACUGGAAUACUUGAGUAUAGUUGAGGUAGGCGGAAUAUGUAAUGUAGCGGUGAAAUGCAUAGAUAUUACAUAGAACACCGAUUGCGAAGGCAGCUUACUAAACUAUUACUGACGCUGAUGCACGAAAGCGUGGGGAGCGAACAGGAUUAGAUACCCCAGUAGUCC